GGCCUCUGGGUGCUUACCUCAGGCUGUAUUCUUACACUCAAUAGAAAGAGGAUUCCGAGUAAACCUUGCCCGUAUACACCUAAGCCCACGCCCUGUACCUGGUAUGUAUUGUGAAUGGGGAGACAUGG